rnacentral:tRNA from 1 species
AGUCUAGUGGUUAGAGCACUGGACUGGGACUCCAGAGACCUGGGUUCAGUUCCCAG